rnacentral:rRNA from 1 species
CCUACGGGGCGCAGCAGUGAGGAAUAUUGGUCAAUGGACGAGAGUCUGAACCAGCCAAGUAGCGUGAAGGAUGACUGCCCUAUGGGUUGUAAACUUCUUUUAUAUGGGAAUAAAAUGUUCCACGUGUGGGAUUUUGUAUGUACCAUAUGAAUAAGGAUUGGCUAACUCAGUGCCAGCAGCCGCGGUAAUACGGAGGAUCCGAGCGUUAUCCGGAUUUAUUGGGUUUAAAGGGAGCGUAGGUGGAUUGUUAAGUCAGUUGUGAAAGUUUGCGGCUCAACCGUAAAAUUGCAGUUGAAACUGGCAGUCUUGAGUACAGUAGAGGUGGGCGGAAUUCGUGGUGUAGCGGUGAAAUGCUUAGAUAUCACGAAGAACUCCGAUUGCGAAGGCAGUUCACUGGACUGCAACUGACACUGAGGCUCGAAAGUGUGGGUAUCAAACAGGAUUAGAUACCCCAGUAGUC